rnacentral:rRNA from 1 species
AUUGAAGGCUGGCGGCAGGCCUAACACAUGCAAGUCGAGCGGAUGAAGGGAGCUUGCUCCUGGAUUCAGCGGCGGACGGGUGAGUAAUGCCUAGGAAUCUGCCUGGUAGUGGGGGAUAACGUCCGGAAACGGGCGCUAAUACCGCAUACGUCCUGAGGGAGAAAGUGGGGGAUCUUCGGACCUCACGCUAUCAGAUGAGCCUAGGUCGGAUUAGCUAGUUGGUGGGGUAAAGGCCUACCAAGGCGACGAUCCGUAACUGGUCUGAGAGGAUGAUCAGUCACACUGGAACUGAGACACGGUCCAGACUCCUACGGGAGGCAGCAGUGGGGAAUAUUGGACAAUGGGCGAAAGCCUGAUCCAGCCAUGCCGCGUGUGUGAAGAAGGUCUUCGGAUUGUAAAGCACUUUAAGUUGGGAGGAAGGGCAGUAAGUUAAUACCUUGCUGUUUUGACGUUACCAACAGAAUAAGCACCGGCUAACUUCGUG